rnacentral:rRNA from 1 species
UAAUACCAGCACCUCGAGUGGUCAGGACGUUUAUUGGGCCUAAAGCAUCCGUAGCCGGCUCUGCAAGUCUCCGGUUAAAUCCACCUGCUUAACAGAUGGGCCGCUGGAGAUACUACAGAGCUAGGGAGUGGGAGAGGCAGACGGUAUUCGGGGGGUAGGGGUAAAAUCCUCUGAUCCUCCGAGGACCACCAGUGGCGAAGGCGGUCUGCCAGAACACGUUCGACGGUGAGGGAUGAAAGCUGGGGGAGCAAACCGGAUUAGAUACCCGGGUAGUCCCAGCUGUAAACGAUGCAAACUCGGUGAUGCAUUGGCUUAUGGCCAAUGCAGUGCCGCAGGGAAG